rnacentral:rRNA from 1 species
UCCGUAGGGUGAGAGCGUUGUCCGGAAUUACUGGGCGGAAAGGGCUCGUAGGCGGCCAACUAAGUCAGACGUGAAAUCCCUCGGCUUAACCGGGGAACUGCGUCUGAUACUGGAUGGCUUGAGGUUGGGAGAGGGAUGCGGAGUUCCAGGUGUAGCGGUGAAAUGCGUAGAUAUCUGGAGGAACACCGGUGGCGAAGGCGGCAUCCUGGACCAAUUCUGACGCUGAGGAGCGAAAGCCAGGGGAGCAAACGGG